rnacentral:lncRNA from 1 species
UUUCUCUUUGUACCCGUUACCUUAGAUAGGAAAAUAGCAGCCACCAUUCCAUUUUCUCUCCAUCCUUCAUUAUCCUCCGUCAUAUUCUUCCAAGUUCUCCAGGAGAUAGAAGGAAGACACCUAUUGCUCCGUCAGAGAGAACUUUCUUCAAGCUCAGGAUUUCGAUCACCCAUUGAAAGAUUUCUUAUUUGAGUUCUUCUACUCCUUAGCUUUGUGUCACUAACUAACAGCUUUCUAACCAAAAAUAAAUACAACCAUUAACUUUUACGGAUAUCGAUGAUAAUCUACUCUUUAUUAUACUACUUUAGCAACCUGCCGUGUAUGUGCAAUGUUUACAUCAAGGUAAGAUAAUUUUCGAUAUAAUUAAAAAUAUUUAAAAUAAUUAAAUGAAUAAAUAUAUUGAAUUAUUAUUAGAGAAAAAUGAAUACAACUGACUAAAAUAUAUGAAUAGUGUGUUGUUGAAAAAAUAAUGCC